rnacentral:misc_RNA from 1 species
UAACUUCUCAACCAUGUUGAUUGUUUUUCAAUGUGGCUUGGAUGUGGGGGUUUAUAUUUUGCAGGCUUUGUAUUAAGUCGGCUCCCCUGAAACACAUUAGUGGUAUUCUGAGCGGAACUGCUACUAUUAGGUGUGAUUAACUAUCUAUGCCUUUUGGUAUUCUGCAUGAACAGAUUGUGCUGCUUCCAACUUGCACAUUUUGUGUGUUUGAUAA